UUGCGCCUACGGGGGGCAGCAGUGAGGAAUAUUGGUCAAUGGACGGAAGUCUGAACCAGCCAUGCCGCGUGCAGGAAGACGGCUCUAUGAGUUGUAAACUGCUUUUGUACAAGGGUAAACCUGAAUACGUGUAUUCAGCUGAAAGUACUGUACGAAUAAGGAUCGGCUACCUCCGUGCCAGCAGCCGCGGUAAUACGGAGGAUCCAAGCGUUAUCCGGAUUUAUUGGGUUUAAAGGGUGCGUAGGCGGUCGGAUAAGUUAGAGGUGAAAUCCCGAGGCU
rnacentral:rRNA from 1 species